UACGUAGGUGACAAGCGUUGUCCGGAUUUACUGGGCGUAAAGAGCGCGCAGGCGGUCGAUCAAGUCGAGUGUGAAAGCCCCCGGCUCAACUGGGGGAGGGUCAUUCGAUACUGAUCGACUCGAAGGCAGGAGAGGGUAGUGGAAUUCCCGGUGUAGUGGUGAAAUGCGUAGAUAUCGGGGAGGAACACCAGUGGCGAAGGCGACUACCUGGCCUGUUCUUGACGCUGAGGCGCGAAAGCUAGGGGAGCAAACGGG
rnacentral:rRNA from 1 species